CUCCUACGGGAGGCAGCAGUAGGGAAUCUUCCGCAAUGGGCGCAAGCCUGACGGAGCAACGCCGCGUGAGUGAGGAAGGCCUUCGGGUUGUAAAACUCAGUCACCUGGGAAGAGAGGUAUGGGGAGUGGAAUGCCCCAUACGAGACGGUACCAGGGGAGGAAGCCCCGGCUAACUACGUGCCAGCAGCCGCGGUAAUACGUAGGGGGCAAGCGUUGUCCGGAAUCACUGGGCGUAAAGCGUGCGUAGGCGGUCUCUCAAGUCCGGGGUGAAAACUCAAGGCUCAACCUUGAGAAUGCCUUGGAAACUGGGGGACUUGAGUACUGGAGAGGCAAGGGGAAUUCCACGUGUAGCGGUGAAAUGCGUAGAGAUGUGGAGGAAUACCAGUGGCGAAGGCGCCUUGCUGGACAGUGACUGACGCUGAGGCACGAAAGCGUGGGGAGCAAACAGGAUUAGAUACCCUGGUAGUCCACGCCGUAAACGAUGAGUGCUAGGUGUUGGGGGUUCAUCCCCUCAGUGCCGAAGGAAACCCAAUAAGCACUCCGCCUGGGGAGUACGGUCGCAAGACUGAAACUCAAAGGAAUUGACGGGGGCCCGCACAAGCAGUGGAGCAUGUGGUUUAAUUCGAAGCAACGCGAAGAACCUUACCAGGGCUUGACAUCCCUCUGACCGGUUCAGAGAUGGACCUUCCCUUCGGGGCAGAGGAGACAGGUGGUGCAUGGUUGUCGUCAGCUCGUGUCGUGAGAUGUUGGGUUAAGUCCCGCAACGAGCGCAACCCUUGACCUGUGUUACCAGCACGUAAUGGUGGGGACUCACAGGUGACUGCCGGCGUAAGUCGGAGGAAGGUGGGGAUGACGUCAAAUCAUCAUGCCCUUUAUGUCCUGGGCUACACACGUGCUACAAUGGGCGGUACAACGGGAAGCGAGACCGCGAGGUGGAGCGAAACCCAAAAAGCCGUUCGUAGUUCGGAUUGCAGGCUGCAACCCGCCUGCAUGAAGCCGGAAUUGCUAGUAAUCGCGGAUCAGCAUGCCGCGGUGAAUCCGUUCCCGGGCCUUGCACACACCGCCCGU
rnacentral:rRNA from 1 species